rnacentral:rRNA from 1 species
GCUUGCGGCGUGCUUACACAUGCAGUCGAACGAUGAAGCUGGGGCUUGCUCUGGUGGAUUAGUGGCGAACGGGUGAGUAACACGUGAGCAACCUGCCCUGGACUCUGGGAUAAGCGCUGGAAACGGCGUCUAAUACUGGAUACGAGACGUGGCCGCAUGGUCAACGUUUGGAAAGAUUUUUCGGUCUGGGAUGGGCUCGCGGCCUAUCAGCUUGUUGGUGAGGUAAUGGCUCACCAAGGCGUCGACGGGUAGCCGGCCUGAGAGGGUGACCGGCCACACUGGGACUGAGACACGGCCCAGACUCCUACGGGAGGCAGCAGUGGGGAAUAUUGCACAAUGGGCGGAAGCCUGAUGCAGCAACGCCGCGUGAGGGAUGACGGCCUUCGGGUUGUAAACCUCUUUUAGCAGGGAAGAAGCGUGAGUGACGGUACCUGCAGAAAAAGCGCCGGCUAACUACGUGCCAGCAGCCGCGGUAAUACGUAGGGCGCAAGCGUUAUCCGGAAUUAUUGGGCGUAAAGAGCUCGUAGGCGGUUUGUCGCGUCUGCUGUGAAAUCCCGAGGCUCAACCUCGGGCCUGCAGUGGGUACGGGCAGACUAGAGUGCGGUAGGGGAGAUUGGAAUUCCUGGUGUAGCGGUGGAAUGCGCAGAUAUCAGGAGGAACACCGAUGGCGAAGGCAGAUCUCUGGGCCGUAACUGACGCUGAGGAGCGAAAGGGUGGGGAGCAAACAGGCUUAGAUACCCUGGUAGUCCACCCCGUAAACGUUGGGAACUAGUUGUGGGGUCCUUUCCACGGAUUCCGUGACGCAGCUAACGCAUUAAGUUCCCCGCCUGGGGAGUACGGCCGCAAGGCUAAAACUCAAAGGAAUUGACGGGGACCCGCACAAGCGGCGGAGCAUGCGGAUUAAUUCGAUGCAACGCGAAGAACCUUACCAAGGCUUGACAUACACGAGAACGGGCCAGAAAUGGUCAACUCUUUGGACACUCGUGAACAGGU